GACGAACGCUGGCGGCGUGCUUAACACAUGCAAGUCGAACGGAAAGGCCCUGCUUUUGUGGGGUGCUCGAGUGGCGAACGGGUGAGUAACACGUGAGUAACCUGCCCUUGACUUUGGGAUAACUUCAGGAAACUGGGGCUAAUACCGGAUAGGAGCUCCUGCUGCAUGGUGGGGGUUGGAAAGUUUCGGCGGUUGGGGAUGGACUCGCGGCUUAUCAGCUUGUUGGUGGGGUAGUGGCUUACCAAGGCUUUGACGGGUAGCCGGCCUGAGAGGGUGACCGGCCACAUUGGGACUGGGAUACGGGCCAGACUCCUACGGGAGGCAGCAGGGGGGAAUAUUGCACAAUGGGCGGAAGCCUGAUGCAGCAACGCCGCGUGCGGGAUGACGGCCUUCGGGUUGUAAACCGCUUUCGCCUGUGACGAAGCGUGAGUGACGGUAAUGGGUAAAGAAGCACCGGCUAACUACGUG
rnacentral:rRNA from 1 species